AAAUUGAAGAGUUUGAUCAUGGCUCAGAUUGAACGCUGGCGGCAGGCCUAACACAUGCAAGUCGAACGGUAACAGGAAGCAGCUUGCUGCUUCGCUGACGAGUGGCGGACGGGUGAGUAAUGUCUGGGAAACUGCCUGAUGGAGGGGGAUAACUACUGGAAACGGUAGCUAAUACC
rnacentral:rRNA from 3 species